rnacentral:snoRNA from 1 species
UGGUUCAGCAGUUAAGAGCACUCCUGGAUGAUCUGCCAGGCUUCCCUUGUGAACCAGAGCACUGCAGAAGUCCUUCCAAAGUUGAGCAAGGCCUUUGUUGGCUCCUGCCAGCAACACUUCUGAACACAA